rnacentral:lncRNA from 10 species
GGGGGUUUCACCUAGUUAGCCAGGAUGGUCUCCAUCUCCUGACCUUGUAAUCCACCCACCUCGGCCUCCCAAAGUGCUGGGAUUACAGGCGUGAGCCAUCGCACCUGGCCCAUGGUGAAGACAUUUGACUGUCAUUUCCUCCUUCACCCUUCUCACUUUUCCUUAUCCUCUUAUCCUUCCUUUUCCCUCUCUCCUCUCUUUUGUUGGGAACUGAGAUUUCAGUUGACAUACCCAGCAAGGGGUAUAGGCCUAGCAUUUCCAAGCCUGAGACUUUAGCUGCCUUCAGUUUCCUAAUUUAUUUUGGUAAUACAAAUUAAGCAAUAUGCUUGUCAAAAAACUGAUUUUAUUGACUGCCCAUUUAUCUUGCCCCUGGGACAUUAUUCUCUCUUAAGCAUUUCCAAAUUCUCUGUAAGUCAGGACCCCUAGUUCAAAUUCCAACCUUUGCCACUUAUUACAGUCAUUAUACACAUUUUGCUCUCCAUCUGCACUCUAUUGUCUCAGGUUCUCUCAUCCCCAGUGGUAUCAUGGAGCUUAGGUCUAUAAUAGCAUAUUUUCCAGGCCCUCUACAGAACAUACCUUGUUGGUGGGUUUUCCAGCUUUAUGUAUUCUAUCUACUUCAAAAUGUCCGGUCCUCUAAGCCUCUUGAUUCCCUCCUCCUCAAUAUGGCACAGAGUUUCUUGCAUUUCUACUUUAUUUAGUGGAAAAUUUCACUUGUUCCAAGAACUCAGAAUAUUCCAAGUUCACCCUAACAGCAUGUUAGUUGUAUCUACCAAAAUUCUAAUCAUGGCAUUAAAUAUCAUAUCGCAGAAAAGUACUCCCAUAUUAACAAACUCUCUCUAACAUGAAUUUAUGUUUCCUUUUGUUGCAGUCCCCUUUUCCCCUGUUCAAUGAGGUACAGCCUCUUGUCCCACGACCAAGAAGAACAAGGCACGCAGACACCAGUGGUCCAGGAUGUGCUGACAUAAACUCCUAUAACUCCA